AGGAUUAACGCUGGCGGCGUGCCUAACACAUGCAAGUCGAACGAGGUAGCAAUACCUAGUGGCAGACGGGUGAGUAACGCGUGGUCAACCUACCGUUGAGUGGGGGAUAACUAGCCGAAAGGUUAGCUAAUACCGCAUACGAGUUUCGGGGGCAUCCCUGAUUCUUAAAAGGAGCAAUCCGCUCGAUGACGGGACCGCGUCCCAUUAGCUAGAUGGUGGGGUAACGGCCUACCAUGGCACCGAUGGGUAGCUGGUUUGAGAGAGCGACCAGCCACACUGGGACUGAGAAACGGCCCAGACUCCUACGGGAGGCAGCAGUGAGGAAUUUUCCGCAAUGGGCGAAAGCCUGACGGAGCGACGCCGCGUGUGGGAAGAAGGCCUUCGGGUCGUAAACCACUGUCGAAGGGGACGAUAAUGACGGUACCCUUGGAGGAAGCCCCGGCUAACGUACGUGCCAGCAGCCGC
rnacentral:rRNA from 1 species